rnacentral:misc_RNA from 1 species
UAGGAAAGUCAUAAAUAUAUAAAUUAUAUUAUAUAAUUAAUAUAAUAAUAAAAUAAAUUAUAUAUUUUAUUUAUAAUAUUAUUUCUUUAUAAGAUAAAUAUUAUCUAAUAAUAUUUAUAAAGAAAUAUAUAUAUAUAUAAAAAGUCAUUAUAUAAAUUUAAUUAUAAUUUAAAUAAAUUUUAUAUAAAUUAAUAUAAUAUUAAUAAAGUAAUUAGUAUAAAUAAAUAAUAUGAAAAUAAAACUUAAUAAAUAUAUAAAUAUAGUCCGG